rnacentral:lncRNA from 1 species
AAGAGAGAAGACGAGAGAAUAUUGAAGGGAGAAGAUCUCACCAUUCGUGGCAAUUGGACUGCAGUCUUCACUGCAAUCCAUGACAGUUUAUGCGAUAUAUGAAGGAGAUCCACCAAUCGCGUCGCCAAGAGGCAAGAUCCCAGUAGCCAGGUUUGAUUUCUCAGCAAAUUAGGGCAAUCAGUUAUUGGUAAUUGUAAUUUCAAUUUUUUGUACAGCUAAUAUUACUAAAAAUGCCCAAUGCGAAUCUCAAAUCUGAACCCACGCUGCUGAACCCUAACCGAUAAGAAAAUUUUGGUUAAAAUUAGCUAAAUCAGUGGAUGAACGGAUGUCACUGCCAAAUCCAGGCGGCUUGUGGCGCAUCCGAAUCCCCACCAAAUCUCUUCAAUGAUUCAUAGUCAUACUGCCAAAUCCCUACUUCCUAGAUUCCUAUUCUCAAUUUAACUAUUAAUUGUAGGAUUAUUAUGUUAUUCUCGCAUUUAAUUAAUACAAAAUUUAAGCUAAAAGCCAAAUGUCCAACUACGGCUACAAGGCAGAGGUCCAAGGACCUUCUACAGCUACAAGGUAGAAUGCCUAAAUCCUAUUACAGCCCAGAUGACCUCUAUCUCUCCCAUUAUAUUCUUUAGGAUUAGCAACCAAAGCAAAAUGGGGAGCCAUAUCAGAAACCUUUAAUCUACCACCCCUCACAAAUGUUCUUGAAGAUGUAAAUUUGAAGUACCUCUUAAGAAGUAAUGGCAGCAAAAGGUAUACCUGGAGGAUACAGUUUUACUUUCGCGAUAAUGUUUCUAUUAUCCUUACCAUACACAACUUUUAACAAAAAAAAAUGUUCAUCUUUUCGUUAUCACAUUAAAUUUGGGCUUUAAUUAGUAAUAGUGGACACACACUCUUAUUAUAUAAAAUAAGUACGACAAAGUUAUAGUGGACUUGUACUUCAUGUUAAACAUCCUUUGGGUUGUAGUACCUUAGCAUCAUAGUAAAUGCUCGACUGGAGCUCGGGACUACCAAAAUCGACAUACUCGAGGUGAAAUUCUUAUGAAGGAAAUCACAUUGGCACCAUGUACUUGACAUCAAGAUAUGAAAAAUAUACGUGUUUACUUUUUCUAAUUUAACUUCCAACUUUUCCAUACGUCAACUAUUACUCCGGAGAAGAACAUUCAAAAAAAUGUAAAUCUGCGGCAAACAGUUAGAGCUCUCACAGGAAACAUAACACUUAAUUUAAUGUAAGUUUUUUUUUAAACAACUCCUCAAAAAAUUCUGGCUCCUAUUUGGAAAAGCCUAUUUCUUUUAGUAGUCUAUUUGAAAAGCUAUAUGACAACUGCAAUCAGCCUCUAUUCAACUACAAUGUACUUACAUUAGAAAUGAAUGACUUUAACUAGAGGAUAUUGAAAGUUUCUUUAUGACUCAGGUGUUUUACAUAUAUAUUUUUGUAUAGUCGAUGAUACAUUUUUUGAUAGGCAAUUAUGGCCCCAUGUGGAUUGGAACCAGCGACCUUGAGAUUAUUCCUCAAGGCCUCUCUGUCACUUCUCCUACCCCUACGGGUUUAUAGUCGAGGUCAAUAUAGAUGAAAGGUCGUACAAUACGUCAAUAUCAUAACCACCGUUUUGAUACUAUUUGCAGAAAAUCAAAGAAGUUACGUGUUGUUCAUCAAAUUUUUCUUCUGUAAAUUGUGGUAAUUCUUCUUAUCUUGCACAUAUAUAUUCUCUUCUCUCUCUCUUAUUCUAAUCAUCUUAUUCAUCUAUUUCUGCUAUUAAAUCUCUUCUAAAAGUCUCAUUUUCUAUUCACUUAUUCUUCCUGCAAACCAAUUGUUCGAUGAAUUGUACGAGUGCAAGAACAUUUUUUUCUCUCUCAAAUCUAGAUUUAAGUAUUGUCUUCUCAAUUCCAUUCCAACAUUAAACAGUCCACACAAGCUCUUUAGUCUUAAAAACAUAUUAACAUUGUUGUUACCAUUGAUAUCACAUUCCAAUCCGAGCUUAUAUGUUCCCAAUCUAACUCUAUAAACAAUUUUCCCACUCAAACAAAUUGAAACUACCCCCUCACAUGAAUGUUACUUCACAAACAAACUUCAACCACAUGUUACAAAAGGAUUUUGUGAGCUUUAGAAAUUUUACAAAUGGAGAAAUUUUGAACUCCUUUAUGGAAGAAAUAAGGGAAUUAUUGUAAAGAAAGGCCACAAUGAUCAAGUUGAGCUCCAACAUUCAUUUGGGAAUGAGAGGGAAACAAAAAGGGCAUGUGCAACGAGUAGGCUAAGGGUGUUCAACCGAUAAAUAUCGAUCCGAACAGUACCGAAACCGGCCAAAUUUUGAUACCAGUACCGGUAUACCGAAUCAACGGUACCGGUUUUUAACGAAAAUUAAUAUAAUUAUUAUUAUUAAUAUUAUUAUUAUUAUUAUAAUCAUUAUUUUAUUAUUAUUAUUAUUAUUAUUAAUUAUUUAUUAAUAAUAAUAAAAAAUUAAAAAAAUGGUAUAUACCGGCCCGGUUCGGUUUAUACCGAUCCAUGAAAACCAUGUCCCAAAACCGGUACCGUUUCAUCGGUAUAUACCAGUUUUCUGUACCGAUACCGAAUCGGUUUACAUUUAUACCGAACCGGUCCGGUUCGUUCAAAAACCAAAAAAACCGAUUUAUUUGCACACCCCUAGAGCAGGCCAAUUAAAAGGUAACAAUGUAAGUGGCCUAUAUAGACAUCCAUUUUGAUGAGGUGGAAAAUAUAGUUGAAAAUUAAGAUUUUUAUAUAUUUUAUAAUGUAUGGAGUAGUUUUAGAUUUAGUGUUAUUUUUAAUUUAGUAAUUUCCUUUUACAAAUAAAUCUAGUUAGGGAAGUUUCCAACUAGUCAUAGGAAGGUUAAUUAGUAGUUAUUUUAAUUAAUAGUUAUUUGUUAUCCUUAUCCUUUUCAAAGUAGAUAUAGGGAGAUAUUAGGACUAUAAAUAUAGGUUGUCUUGAGAUUUUUUAUUAAUACAAUUCAAUUCAAUUCAUAAUAAUAUAUGUAAUGUUAUUUCUUGAAGAAUUCUCUAUCUUGUUAGUUCAAAGUUUUAUCAAGGUUUAUUCCUUCAUCAGCCUUAGAACGUUAUCUAAUUCCCACAUUUGUAUUAGUACGUUAAACUAACCAAGUUAUCGCUGCAUCAAUUAGUAUCAUAGCCAGGUUUAUAUCCUUGGAAUUCAUGAUCAAGAGAGUAGAUGGAACACAACCCCAUGGCAAUCAUGGAGCUUAUGUGUCACGACAGACAUUCGACAACCUGACUCGUCAAGUUGGUGGUAUUGAACAAACCUUAACACAGUUGAUGAAUGUUGUCAACAAUCUAACCAUCCAAAGUCGAGAUGGAUUUAUUCCAAAUCGAGAAAGUGCUGAAAAUCUGAAUUUUGAGGAAAAUUUGGAAUAUGGUAGCGACGAUGGAGAGGAAGAAGAAUAUGAACCUCAUCACCAACUUGUGAAUCGUGGUGGAUGACACAAUGGACGAAAUGGUGGACAUGACACUUGACAUGGUGCUGGUCGCGGUAUAGUUCGGCGCAACGAAUCAAAAUACAAGGUAAAAAUUGAAAUUCCUAAUUUUAAUAGUUCAUUGGAUAUCAAGGCUGUCUUGGACGGGAAACAUGAAGAUAAUAAUUUUUUUUUGAUUUAAUGGGUAUUCUAAGUACAAAAAAGUUAGUAUAGUUAGCAUACAAGUUGAAUGGUGGAGCAUCCGCUAGGUGGAAACAGCUGCUAUUCGUAAGUGGACCAGGAUGAAGACAGUUUUGCAAAAUAGAUUUCUGCCAACAGAUUAUCAUCACCGAUCAUUUCAGCAAUUUCAUAAUUGUUAGAAUAGUCAGAAAAUUAGUACACAGGAGAAGGUCGUGACCCGCAAGUAAUUUUUGAGCACUCGCAUGGAGAUUCAAAGCACAUGACAAUUGAUGAUCAAAUAAGUGAGAAGUAAAAUUCUGAGUUGGACAUAUCUCUAUGUGUUACUCGGACUCGCCAUUUUUGGUGGAGUACCCGUGUCGACCCGACACGACACUGGUACGGGUGCGGGAUCCGUACGGGAUCCGACCACAGAAUCUGGAUAUGGCUGUUCAUCGGAGAAGAAAAAAAGACUAGGAAGGAGGAAGAAGAAAGAGGAAACACCAUGAGAAACUUACCGCAUUUUUCUUCUUCUCCACCGAGUUUGGUCCGAGUUUCGUGGCUUUUUUCUUCUUCUCCAACGAGAUCGCUUAAGUCUGAGUUUGGUCUGUCUGAGGUCAAUGAUCAGAUCUGGAUUAAAAAUAUCCUUGCAAAAUUACAGUUAGGUACCCCGUAAUUUUUAUAACUUUUUAAUUUAGUCCCCCAAGUUUUCUGAAAGUUCAAAAUAGCCCUUGAAAAAUUACAUAUCAGUCCUUAUACUUUUGUUUUCUUUCAUUUUAGCCCCUAAAAUUUCAGUAGUUUCAAUUUUGCCCCUGUUUCUUUAUAUUUUUGCAUUUCAACCCCUGAAGUUUCAUGAUAAAUGCAUGUCUAUAAAAAUUUGGACAGUAUAAAAUUAUUAUUAAAAAAUCAUAACAUACCGUAUCCCCGCACCCGUGUCAAAAUUUGGAUCCAUAUCCGCGUAUCUUCUAUUUUUUGACUUCACGUGUCCGACACUUAGAUUCGUACCCACACCCGAGUCCGAGUAACACAGCCUAUUACUACUCUAGAAGUUAGAAUUGAUGAAAAGCCAAUUUUAGAUUUUGAUGAUAGUUCUAUUUUGGAGCAAAGUCAACCAAAUAUUGAAACUAGUACUCUUGAAGAAUUCUAAAUUCCUGACGAGUCACCUAUUACUAAAGUGAGCAUAGAAAAUUGGGUGAUGUCCAAGGAUGAGGAUAUUACAACAAACAAAAUUGAUUAUGAGAUUGUUCUAGUGUUUGAGGACAUAGAAAUUAUUAAUUUUGUUAUCCAUGAAAAUUUCUUUGUUUUGCCGGUAAAUUUAAAGAUAUUGGUAUUUUCUCACUUAUUUUAAGAUUAUCCUUUGAGAAGAAAAGACGUGCAAUUUUGAUUCCGCAUAGAUUUGAGUAUUCGAUCUUGGUGUUUGAUACUUUAUUACUUUAAAAAUCGAAGGCAAAUUCUUUCUAAGAAGGGGAGAAUGAUGAGGUGAAAUAUCAAAGUUUUAGUUUAUUUGAUGUUCUCAAUAGGUUGCUUUUGACUGCUCCAAGAGAUCAAUGAAUCAACAAAUGUUAUGCAUAUAUAAGGGCCGGAACCGACACUAUAGAAAAAUGUCCCUCCAUUGAUUCAUGUGUGCAGCAAUCGAUUCAGUAUCCAAGUUUUUUCCAUUAAUGACUCAAGUGAAUCCGUAUGGACCCGGUAGAAAGAUUUUAUACUCCUACCGCCCUUAGUUAGUUAAGAGGGCCAUUCGCUUUAAUCGAAAAAGCAGAAAUAGCCUUUGAUGAAUUCUCAACAACAAUUCAACUUGGAUGGAGGGAAAUAGCCUCUAGUUAAGUUCGUCAAGCUUUUUAAGGCAGCUUUCUUACUUAUGGUUAACUUAAACAAGGCGGUAAUCAAUAGGCCCCAACUACUAUGAAAGGGGGAGAGAAAGGUUACAUCGGAAUCAAUCAUUUGGCUUUACCUUCUAUUUCCAACUAGGUAUCGGAUCUUCACUAAUAAGAGACCUCAGAAAUGGAUAGUUGUGAGGUAGCGGCUGAACCUCUUUUGUUGGGCCUUGGAGAUUAACGGAUUGGAGAAGGAUCAAGUUCUCUUUGCUUCAAUUCAAAUUCUUUAUUAAGGUGGGACGGGGAGAGUAGUGCUUUCACCCUAUUAAUUGGAUCAAAUCAAACGGCCUAGUAUGCUCAAGUGGAGUUCCCCCUAGCAUGCUCUAUAGGGAAGAUCCUAAAUCAUAAAAGUUAGUAAAGGUCACCAAAAAUGGGGCAACGAUCACUAUGGACUCUAUUUUGCAUCCGGGUUGUUAUUACACGAUUGCAUGCCAUUCUUCGCGAGAUUGAAAGGAUAUAACACAUACGAAACCUUAGCUUCACUGACUUUCUGAGGUAUAACCUUCGUAACGACAUUAGUAGCUUAGCUCUUUGCGCUUCUUGCAAGCUUUUUUAUAGUGAGAGUAAGGGUGCGGUACGGAAGAUUGGUCUGCUCCGCAAAAUUGAGCUUUUCGGUUCGCUCUCCCCUUCUUACCAGUAUGCUUCCUUUCUCUUGAUGGAAUAUAUCAAUACUCGCGCUCCAGCUUUGCUUGUGUUCUUCACCGACGCUCGCCGAAUUUUUAUUUCUUAUUAAAGGAAAUCCAAUAGUUUUAGAUUUAGUAUUAUUUUUAAUUUAGUAGUCUCUUUUUCAAAUAAAUCUUGUUAGGAAGGUUUCCAACUAGUCUUAUGAAUGUUAAUUAAUAGUUAUUUGUUAUCCUUUUCAGAAUAGAUGUAAGGAGGCAUAGAGUCCUAUAAAUAUGGGUCAUCUUCAGAUUUUUUAUCAAUACAAUUCAAUUCAUAAUACACUUAUUGUUUUCUCUUGGUGAAUCCUCUAUCUUCCUUGUUAAUUCAAGAUUUUAUCAAAGUUUAUUCCUUCGUCGACAUUAGAAAGAUUAUAUAAUCCCCAAGUUUGUGUUAGUACGUUAAACUAAAUAAGUUCUCGUUGCGUCACAUUUUAUGUGGAUAAGAGGAUAAUGAGGAAAUUGGGAAGAAAAGGGGGAUAUAAUGUAGGGGAUUAUGCUUUAUGUUGGACAAAGUACUGCAAACAAUAGUUUGAAAUUUCAGCAUUUAAGAGUCAUGGAAAGUGGCCAAUGCAACUUUGCAUUUUUAUGGAAGUCGUAAAUUUGGUGCAAGGAGGUUAAUGGCAAGUAGGUCUCAUGGGCUGAUUUUACAAGGGAUAGGGAUGUAAAGAAGUCGUGCCAACCAAGCUUUGAACUGUCAAGCCCGAGCUCGGGCUCGCCUAAAUGUUACACGUGUUUAGUCGAGCCGAACUUUAAACGAGCCUAAAUACUAUUGUUCUUGCUCUGACACGUUUAUCAAAUGAGAUGAGUUGAACUCAAGCUUUAGUCAAUCGAGAUAAACCAAAAUUAUUUAAUUAUUAAAUUAAUUAUUAUGUAUACUUGAUUAAAUAAAUAUUCAAUGUGUGGAGCUUAAGCAAACUCGGGCGAGCAUAAUAGAGUCGAGCUUAAAGGAGCAAGCAAGAGCUAUGGGCAUGUUAUAGCUUGAGCUUCACUCAUUUAAUUAAUGAUCACAAUCCUUUGCUCGAGCUUGACUUGUUAAAGGAGCUAGAGUCACUCGAGCCAAAAAAAAUUCACAAAUAGCAUUGUUUGUUUAUAGCUCUACCUAGGGAUUCGCCAUUUGAUUCACAACAAUUGAUCAAGAAUGUGUUUGAGCAAUUCAAAUUGCUUAAACAAACUAUGUUAAAAUAGCAAUUAUGACAAAUUUGAGAAGCAAAGGGGAAUAUUGCUUUGCAAGGAAGCCUCUCUUGAGUGAGCAUUUCUUUGUUGCCAACUUUUAUCAGAGGUGCAACGGAGGAAACCAAAAAAAUUAGGAAGCUACUUGAUCCUAUAAUUCUCACACAAGCCUACAACAUAGCUUAAAAUAAGAGCAUCUCGUCUCCAAUUCACUGGCCAAGCAAAACAGCACCUUCACUAACCCAUACACAACCCCACUUCUCACAUACCCAAAUACAAAUCCAAAUACCAUUUUUUUCACUCCCAAACCCCUUAUAACAAGCCAAAGAAAUGAGAGAAGAUAAAAAGGCCUUCGCUACUUUUGAGAUGAAAAGAUAAUAUGGUUGAAUGCACAAGGCCUAAGGCUUUCAUUAUUGUCCGAGACACUCGAGAGGAAUGCAAAGACAAAAGUGUGGAAACCCCCAUCAAAGGAGAAAUAGUGACAAACCAACCAACCAGUCAUGUUCGAACUGUGCUGUCCAAGUAGCAAAGCAUAGCAUCACUUUGCUUAUUGAUUUUAGGAAGUGUACUUAGCUCGUAAGUGACAAGAUUGCCCACAUGCAUCAAUUUUUCUUCACAUUUUUUUGUCGUAGCCUCUAGUUCUGAUUAUUUCAUCCUCAGUAGCCAAAUAAAUACAAUCUGUUAAGCUCAUUAGGGAUUUAUCUUUUUAACAUAUAAGGUCUUAGUAUAGUACCUAGUUCCAUAAUUACUAAGGCGUCGCUUCCUUGCUGAUCGGCUCCAAGGUGAGCGCCUUGGUUAGUGAGGCGUCUUACUAUCAAGGCAUGCGAUUUGGACACCUUAUCGCAAUAACGGUUGGCUUAGCCUUGAUUAAUUUGUCUUUUUUUGAACUGUGCAGUAUAUUUUUUUGAUCAAAUUGACGCCAUCAGAAUAGACUAGAGAAGACAACAUAAGACAUAAGGGGAGACAAUACAGAUACGAGGGAGAGAAGAGAAGGAGAAGGGGAGAGAGAAAGAGAGAAGGAUGUUCCACAUGGUCACGUAGGGUUCUUUAAUCUCCUGAAGUCUUCUCAUUCUUUUUCCCCUUUUACUUUAAUGAUUAUAAUUAAUUUCUAGGAUUAUUAUAAUUACACAUCAAAUAUAUAAUAAUUGGCUUCUUUCUUUUAUCUUUUUUUUUUACCGUUUUAAUAUAAUAAUAGAUUAUAGAAAUUGCAUAUUUUCUAGAAGUUAAAUUUCCUGGUUAAGAAAAACAAAAAAGCAAUUUCCCUGUUCAUUUAUUCCUAUAAUUUAGCCCUAUAAUUAACUAAUUAAGACAUGUAAUUACGUUCCAAUUCCUGUAACUGGGAUUUGUACCUACUGGAGCAUAUAUAUUUUUCUAACUAACCUUGAGAACAAUACUAAGGAAGAUAAAAUCAUUCAUCAGAAAGAUACGAAAUAGAGCUGAGAGGAUACCUACCAUAUCCAAAAACGAAAUCUAAAUUACAAACUUUCAUGAUCCAAGCAGAAAAUAAAACAAUCAAGAAACAACUGUGGGAGAUAUAUUGCAUCCCACAUCAUAUCUGCAAUUAACUAUCACUACAAGGAAAAAACUCUCAACAUAGAUAAUUCAAAAUCCCAAAAGGAAAAAAGUGGCUCCCACAAAAGUGAAAAAAAGAACGAGAGAUCUAAUAACCCCAAACUAGGAGAAACAAAAUUCCACAAAAAGGAAAACAAACUCCACAAAGGAGAAAAUAACAACCAAAUAAUAGAAUAAUGAUAACAAUGAGAUCUAGAGGAAGGUCUCUUCAAAAGAGAGAAGAAGCCCUCCCAAUAUCUAAAUUUGAAGUUUUGGAGGCUAGGGUAUUUGGCUAGAGAGAGAAGAGAGAAGAAAAGGAAUUUUAUUAUGCAAAAACCAUAUUAGAAUAAACUAUAAAGAAAUUAUAUAUAAUUUUGUCAAACAUUGCAUAAUACACACACCCCUCUAGUUAAUUAUAAAGGAAUAACAUAUGCAUCCCUCAAAUAAAAAUAAUACUACUUGAUAUUUUUAGGAGAUCAUAAACAUAUUUUUCAAGAACAUUAUAUAUAUAUAUAUGCAUAAAACAUAGCUUAUAAAUGACUUGUCGCCUUAUUUCCUAAGCGCUUAGACUCCCGCCCAAUGCCUCACCACGUCUUAACGCCUUAGCAACUAUGGUACCCACCCAAACAUAUAUAUACAUGUUCGAGUAAGUAUAAUACUAAAGAUUCUUGUUGAUGGAAGCUUUUCCUUUCAUUUUGAAUAAGUUAUCAAUGCAUUAACGUGUCUUUUGUUGAUUUUGUGGAAGAGUUUAAGCCAUAAUAUGGCAUAGGAGCAAAUUACUUAGAGAGUUGACACGUGAUAGACAUUGUUAGCCCAUCUUCACACAACUUAAUCGUUUAUGGCAAAUGGUGACUCAACCUAUUACACACAAACAUAGGAUAUAGAAGAAAGAAAAGGCAACAUUUACAAAAUAUUAUUUCACAUAAAAUGAGUCAAAUGCUCCAUCCAAAUGUAGCAUCUUUUUUCAAAAUGAUUUUAACAUGCACAGAUUUUAAGACGUGUAAAUAAUACAUUUAGCUAUCAUACUUGCACUUUUAUUCCUGGAUUAUACUUUAGAUGUUAAAACUAAUUUUAGAAAUUAAAAUAUAUAUUAUGUCCAAAUUUGGGAUGGAGGAAAUACUACAAGUGCAUGAGUCACUGUGUUCAAUGACACUGGCUAGUGGUUACAUGAGCAUUUUCAAGGAUUGGCUCCGUGAAAAUUUGAUCAAUAUCGAAAUUUUAUACCGAUAACAUAAAUCUGGGUAGGAGGUUAAAUUAGCACCAGAAAGCAUUGAUGAAUUCUUACAAGGAAGCUUCAAAAGCACCAGUUGCAGAUGUUGUGGUAACAAUUAAAGUCUAAGCAUGCACAAGAAUUUGGGAAAUUAAAUGGAUUAUCAUUCAAGACUUCUUGCCUUCCUCAAACAUGAAUUAAGAGACAUAGCAGUUUCAACUUGAAAAGGCAUUAGGUGUUUAUGCACUUACUUGGGCCAAAGAUUAGAUGGUGACAACUCAAAUGGAUGGUUAGUUGCAGACCCAUUGGGGCUCCCAUUGAUCAGUUCAUUCUGAAUAGCUUCCUCAGGAUGUUGAGAAAAAUGAUUUUCACUCCCAGAUGUCGGUCCAAACAAAGUUUUUGGUAACCAUGGAUCAUCAAUAGUUCCAGACAUGGAAGUACCAUAUGUCCCUCCAUUCUGGUAACUGCCAAAAAAUACCUUCUGUGGGGAAUAAGUACCAGAAGGGACUUGAUCAUCUUUUUUAAAUAGUGAAGCCAUGGUUUUCUGAGGCAAGGGAUGCACGCUGUCUUCCUUGUUUGACCUGUUCAGUUCUGAAGGUAAAAGCCAGCUUGCUGGACCACCUACCAAACCUAGACCAUCCUGACCAAGGGGAGAAGUAUUCCACAUCUGCCAUGUUCCUCUCUCAUUUGCACCGCUCAAAUCAUCCUUUGGUAAAUUGUGCACAUCCUGAGCCUUAGGGGUGUUUGGGAAAAGAAAAGAACUAGCAUGCCUUUCGUCAGCUACUCGUAAUCGCGACAUUGGAGACUCAAUUGGUGAUGGCCUAAUUACUUCAGAAGAAGCAGGUAUAUUUCUUAUAGAACGAGGCUUUUCCAAUCCCUUGUCUGUUACAAAGCCAAGGUCUAACUGAAAAUUGUCAAGAGACUCUGAAACUGGCCCAAGCAAGGAUACUGGGUCAGGAACGUAACAUGGAUCUUCAAAAAUGUCUGAUUCUUCUGGUAAAAAUUCAGAAGGAGAUUCUCCAAAUUGAGGAUACAUAGAUUCAGAUGACAAUUGAAUACCUGCACUACUACUUGUUGAUCCAUAGGGCAAAGUUGAUAAAGGAAAUGGGGAAGGCAACCCGAAAUUAAUAGGAUUAUCAUACUGUUGAGUUACUACUGGAAGAGCAGAAAAUGGAGGGCUUUGAGCUUCAGCCUGAGACUUCCCAUUUGGUCUGCUUAUGACAGUUGAAUUAGCAGAUGGAGGAACAGUUGCUGAACGGGUGAAUAACUGCUGCCAUGAUUUUUUAGGGGCUGCAUAAGGUUGUGGUUCAAUAAGCACCUGCAGGGUACAGAUCAACAUAAACAGAUAAUACACCAAAAUCCAUCUUCAAUAAACCGUACAUGGCCAGUUAUCAGAUACUGUGGCAAGUGUCAUGAAAGCCUCAUCAAACCUUUUAAGCAUGCAUUUUUGCAUUUAAAAUAGGUUAGACCAGUAGAAAUAGAUAAAGAUCCACAUACCUACUGACAUAUUAAGAAAAAUAUAUGACUCUUGGCAUCAUGUUGGUGACUGGUUACAUUUUUAUAGGACAUUGGUAAAAGACCCUAUAAAACCUUCAGAGCAUGAGUUAUAUUCAUGCACUUAUACUAACGUAUUAUCUAGUACUUGUACAUGUUAUUUAUAAGAAUACGCAAGAACCAAAAUAAGGGCACAUCAUCCCAAAUAGUCAAAAUGGUUAAAUAUGUUGGUAUGUAGGUGGUAACUUUGGACAUAUUAAUACGUAGCACUAGCACAGCCAAAAAUUGACAUGAAUCGCAUGAGGACGAAUAGAGGAUAAUGAAUAUCAUCACACAAAAUUUCUCAGGUAACUAAGAAAUAAUCAGUUAAAUAACUCUGUCAUCACUUCAACAAACUAUGAAAAUAGAUAAACCACAGUAUAAAAUAUAAUACGAGUAGCGAUACAACUUACAGGACGGUUGAUGUUUUUAUCAUCUCCACUGAUAUUUGAUUUACCAGAUACACGCUCGGGCUGUGAUAACUCUCUCCUAUUGGCAGAAAUUUGGACAUGAUCGACAGAACCAUUAGAUUUGUGAUCUCUUGUAACGGUAACAGAAGUACUAGCACCCUUUCCAAAGAAACUAGCUCCAGUAAAUGCUCUAGAAGAGGAUAAGAAAGUUCCCCUCAUACGAUCCAGGUAUCUUGUUCCAGCAUUCCCCCGGCUAUAAUUGCUUGAUGGAGCAGCCUUCAGCCCGUGUCCUAUUUCGGUGUUAGGGGACUUGAAACUUUCUGCCCCAGUUCUGUGAUGUUCCAGACGAUCACUCUCAAUCUUCCUACACCGUUCACCUUCCUUCCCCGCUCUUUUUUCCAGUUCUUCAACAUCAGAGUUGCUUUUACUAGAUCCUCUGUCUUUUUCUUUUUUUCUUUCCUGACGCUUCUUUUCUGCUUCUUUUCUAUAAUCUUUUUCCCUAGCAGUAUUCAAUCCUUUGCUACGAUCUUUGUCAGCCUCUGUCUUCUCAUCUCUUAAUUUCCUACGUUCUUCCACCAACCUGGCAACCUCCUCUCUUUGCUUCCUCUCUUCUUCCUCCAACUGCUCCUUCUCUAACCUAGCCUGCCUCUUCUCUUCAGCUUUUCUACGAGCUUUCUCUCCUCUACUUUCUUGAAAAUUUGCCCCAUUCUCACCUCUCUUACCCAACAUCCCCCUAUGAUCUGGGUCCACUGAUGCAUCAUCUCCAGUACUAACCCUAAAAAUCUUUCUCCAAAGCCACAUAAUACUCAAGAAAAAAGCUGUCAAUGCCCUGCAGGCAAAAAUAAGAACACGAGAAUAAGAUUUCUCUGCCAAACAAUUGUCAUUUCCUCCAAAAAAUCCACCUCCGCCAUUUUUCCUCCAGUAAUUAGGCUUCCCAGAAAAAGAUCCAGCAACCCAAUUACCAUUAUCUAACCAAUCUUGACCGCACAUCCAACCGUUAUCAGACCAAACCUUCCCAUUCAGUAUCUUUCCACUUUUUCCAACCAAAUCCUUCAAAAUACCAGGAUUUGGAAGCCCCAAUCCGGGUGGUACAGGCAAGUCCAAAACAGGCCUCUUGGAUAUAUGCCCGCAAUAUGAACACAUAAACCGUCCGCCUCCAGGAUUUUGUUCACGGUAGGGAGUCAAACAGUUCCGGCACCUUCUUGUGGCUGUUUUUCGAAGCUUCUGCAUUUCAAUAGCCUCAAAUCUCUUCCUCUCCCUAAGCCUUGCAUUCCUCCUCAACCGCCAAGCAGACAACUGCGGCAUCAAAAUCUCAUACCAGAAAAGGGUAACCAAGAGAACAAACACGCAGGCCAAUCUUGGGGACGUGAUUUCAAACCGAAAUGCAGGAGGCAACAGCUGAGAAAGAACCCAUAGUCCAAUCAGUGGAAUCACUAACCAUGGAAGCAUGGUAGCAACCCGUCGAGACCACUUCUGAAUCACGCACAGUAUACACAUUAUCCUCUAAGCAACACCAAUCUGUUUCCAAGCUCUCCUCGAUGUCAAUCAAUCCAAACAAAGAUAUACAAAAACGCGAAACCCUAACCCCACGUAUCCUCCUCCUCCUCCUCCUCCUCACAGAACUCCAAUGCGAAACAAUCCCUCCAAACCCUAACAAGGCGAUUCGUGCACCUAGUUUAAUAAAAGAAUCGGAAAUUAAUCAGAAAAGAGUUUACAUUUUAAAAAUCUUCAUUUAGGGUUCCGGAACGGGCAGCUCCUAAACCAAAGUGAGAAGCAACGAAUAAAACCAAUUUUGAAAACUUACAGAUUUGGAGUCCAUUAAGCGACGUAUUGGCGAUUCAUUCGCGUAUAGGGUCGAUUGGUGGAGGCAGCGAUGAGAGUGUGAUGAUGAUGAUGAUGAUGAUUGAUGAGGGAAAAAGAUAAAGAGAGGGGGUUGAAGAAUAUAUGAGGGGGAUAGGAUUGGUAUAAAUAUAUAUAGAGUAGAAGGGAACCGGAUGGGUUGGAUAGUGGACCGAGCCGAUCGUGUUUGUUUGGUCAAAAAUACACACAUCACACCCAUUCCCAUUCCUCCCUCGCUCUCUUGUCCGUGAAGUCAUUUAGUGUUUACUAAGAAAUUUUCUUUUCUAAUUUAGGUGGUGGUGAAACAUGAAAUUGUAUUUACAAUAAUAAUAAUAAUAAUAAUAAUAAUAAUUCUAAACCCCUCUCGUGUUUGUGUUUUAAACUCUCCUCAUAAUAAUUGUUGGGUCAUGAUAUUUCUUCUAUUUGACCGAGUAGAUUGGGCUUACUUAUUUGAUUAGUCCAUUGGGUCCUCAUUAGUGAGUCUUAAAGUUACUGGGCCUGGUCAUUAUAUUAUUCAUGUUUGGUCCUUUUUAGAUCAGGUCGGAUCAGUGGAUCGACCUAUUAGAUAUUUUAAUAUCUCUAUCUUUGACUUGUAAUGAUGAAAAAACAUGAUGGUUGACUGUUGUAUCUGUCAUGCAUUAAUGUGGAUGGGAUCCGGGGACAGCCAGUGGUAGAAAACAGUGGCCAGAGGUAGUGGGUGGACUGUACGCAGUCGGCAGGAACCAUCAGAUCAGGGGGCUGUCAGACAGUAGUGGGUGGCACGGUAAACCGGGCAAGAGAGUAUAACCUAACGAGGAAGUCUUCAAGCAAAAGGUACACACACAUUAACAUUUGAUAAUUCUCUCUCAAUACACUAGAUAUUAUUAUCCUCCAUUGUUAACCCUUGUGAACACCGAUACUGACUCUCACGCCUGAACUAUCCCCCGACGGUCGAAGCCGUCAAGCUUUUGGUGUUGAUCGUGUUUACUGUGCAGGAUCAAGACGUCUUAAGUGAUUGGGACGUGGCAGAAGAUCUUGGCGUUAACAUUGGCGCUAGAAGGAGGGCUGAAUUCUAGUGUCUUGAAAUUUUCAAUCACAAAGAUUUAUUUGUUCUACGUCGGAAGAUGGUGAGGAGUAAAGCAGAUACGCCGGAAGGACAGCCAAGGGUUGUUAGCUCGUCUGUCCAGCACAUUUCUGUCAAAGAUCGUCUGGGUCCUUCGAAGAGUGUUCAUGAGAGUGAGAGCACUGCUUCCAAGCAUAUUUCCAAGGGUUCUCGUUCAAGAGCUCAUGGUGGGGCCAAACGGAGGUUGGUGUUUGCUGAUGACAAAGACCGUGAUCAGGAUCGGAGGCAGGUUGAGGGUUCUCUGCCUAAAACGCACCACUGAAGUGGUCGAGAUAACAGAACUGCCAAGUUGGCAAAGAUGGCCGAAGAGGCACAUAAAGCUUUGGAAGUUCUUCUGAAGCAGAGGGAAAAUAUAGCUGUGCAAAUGCUUCGGAUGGCCGAUCUGAAAGACGAGGCGUCCACUUAUGUCCAGUCCGAGAGGCGUAGUAGGCAUAAGGAGGUACCACGACGAGAGGGGAGGGAACCAGAGCAUUCCGUGCAUGUAUCUCUAGGUCGUUCCCAUGACCGAAGGAGAUCAAGGAGUAGAACUCCUGAGGCAUCGAAGGGAGCGCUUGUCGUCGUUGGUUCUCAAGGUCGAGAUGGUGGCAGACAGAGGAGUAGGUCGAGGGAGGUCGCGCCAGAAAGUAGAAGGAGAUAGCAACGUCAUGAGCACUCUCACCGUGAUGACAAGGCCAUACGCUAAAGUAAAUCUAGAAGCCCAUCGAGGGCGGUGGUUUCCGUUAGAGAUGGUCGAUCCAUUCCAAAAGAAAGGAGUCGCCGGAGAAAGAAGUCUCCUCUCAACCAAAAGGUGUGGAUUUUCUAGUGAAGGAAUUGAAGGAGCUCCGGAAGCAGUUGGCUGAGGUGAAACAGGUGAAGGACACUCUGGGAAAGAAGGCGUCCCCUUUUACCUCGGACAUUCUUAAAGAAAAGGCAGACACCACCAAGAAGUUACCUCAUAUGGAGAGUUAAGAUGGGUCCGGGGACCCUUAUGACCAUAGUUAGGCGUUCGAUCGGCUGAUGGAUUAUUAUGACUUUACCGAUGCUGCCAAGUGCCAUACGUUUGUUACAACAUUAAGGAAGGAUGCGAGGCAGUGGAUGGGGACUCUACCUGCAGAUUCGGUCUCGUCAUGGUCCGAGCUGUGUGACAAGUUUCAUGCCCGUUUCGGAAGCAACCGAAGAAGGGGGAAGCCCACAGGUUCUUUGGCACAGGUCCGACAAUUCACCAAUGAGUCUUUGGGUCAGUACGUGAAGAGGUUCAGGGAAGCAGUUGGUCAGGUGGUGGACCUUAACGAUCUGCAAGCUGUAAGGUUGUUUCAGAACGGGCUAGAUUUGGUGAAGUCUAAAAAGUUGGUGAAGAAGUUGAUGUUUCACAAUCCGAAGAGCUUGGCCGAAGCUUUCGACAAAGCAGAAGGUUAUAUUGUAGUGGAGGAGGCUAUAAAUAGCCUGAAACGUCCUUCUUCGGACCGAAUAAAGGAGGCAGAUGCUCCUAAGGCUGAAGGCGAUCAGAAGAAAGGGGGAGGGUAUAAUGAUAGGCCAGAGGGAAGUUCGAAGAAGUACAACAACUCGUGGCGACAGGGAAGUAGUUGCCCACCUGUUCCCACCCCGAAGGUGAAUAAGGUUUACACCAAACUGAACACGGAUAAGUCGGUGAUUCUGGAUCAGAUUAGGGGCCAACCAUUCUUUGAACCACCUCGUGAUAACUUCAAGCCAGGACAGGGCAAUGCUCGAAAAUAUUGUGGCUAUCAUCAAGCUGCAGGUCACGACACUAAUGAGUGUUGCAAUUUGAAAGAUUUUGUGGAUAGGAAGGUUCAAAGCGGUUUAUUGGUUUAAUAUGUGGCUGAGAGGGACCAGCAAGAAUAGUAGAAUAUUGACCAUGCCGUUCAGACGGUCCAAACGGUUCCCCCCGUACAACCUGCUCCGAAUCAGCCACCAAGGCACGUCGUUGAUGUAAUAACCGGUGGGACGGCAGGAAAAUUGGCAGGGAAGAAGAGGAGAGGAUAUCUGAACUCGGUCAUUUGCGUGGCGGGUGCUCCCCCGAAAAUCGACAGACCGUUUUCAGGGACAGUUAUAUCCUUCAGUGAUGCAGAUUAUCCUUCGGAGCCCAUCGAACCCCAUGAAGGAGCCUUGGUGAUCACAGGACAAGUGGGUUCGGUGGAUAUAAAGCGAAUGAUGAUUGACAACGAGUCUUCCGUUGAUAUUCUGUAUGCCCACGCUUAUCAGAGGAUGCAUCUUGAUGGGCGAAAGAUGGAAGUUGGGCAGGAGGCUCCCCUUUAUGGUUUUAGUAACGAUCCAGUCAAAGUUGCAGGCACUAUCGAAUUACCAGUGGUCUUCGGCACAGAUCCCCAGCAAGUACAAAUAACGUGUAAAUUUUAUAUUGUGCAUGUAGACUCGGCCUACAACGCCAUACUGGGAAGACCUACUCUGACAGCUCUCCAAGCAGUGACCUCUAUUCCUCACUUUAAAAUCAAGUUCCCAACAGCACACGGAGUUGGAGAGGUAGCAGGGGACUUGGAUCUGGCCAGACGAUGCUACAGAAAUGCUGUGAUAGCUUCAGGAGUAGGGGUAAGCAAACAGAAAUAGACCAUGGCGAUAGAGAUCGAGCCAUUCACCGAAAGCAAUUUGGAGCCAUUGGUCAUGUCUGCCGGGGAGACAAGGGAGAUUGAACUGGUCCUUGGAAAGAAAGACAAGACAGUGAAGAUAGGUUCGGGUUUGUCGGAACCUUUCCGGACAAACCUUGUGGAACUUCUUCGCUGUUUUGCAAACAUAUUUGCAUGGGAGCCACAAGAUAUGUCUGGAAUCAGCCGGAAGAUAGCAGAGCACCGGCUGGAGGUAGAUUCAACGAAGAAGUCAGUUCGGCAGAAAAGGCGGAUCUUUGCACCUGAGCGUCAGAGGAUUAUUGAUGAGGAGAUCGCGGAGCUGAUAGCUGCCGACUUCAUCUUUGAGAUCGACUACCCGGAGUGGAUGGCUAAUGUAGUGUUGGUGCAGAAGCACAAUGGAAAGUGACGGGUUUGCAUCGACUACACGGACCUGAACAAAGCCUGUCCGAAGGAUUUCCAUCCUUUGCCCCAUAUUAAUCAGCUCAUCGAUGCCACUUCGGGGUAUACAUUACUAAGCUUUAUGGAUGCUUUUUUAGGUUAUCAUCAAAUCUCCAUGUGCAAAGAGGACAUUCCGAAGACAACUUUUAUCACACACCGUUCAGUGUAUGCCUAUAAGAAGAUGACCUUUGGCCUGAUAAAUGCUGGAGCCACUUACCAGAGAAUGAUGAACUUCGUCUUCGAGAGGCAGCUAGGGAGGAACAUGGAGGUGUACGUGGAUGAUAUGAUCGUGAAGAGUAUAAAUGUUCAGAAGCACUUGGAUGAUCUAGAGGAAUGCUUUCAAACUGUCCGUCAUCACAAGUUGAGACUCAAUCCUGCAAAGUGUACCUUCGGGCUCGGUGCAGGGAAGUUCCUGGGUUAUCUGGUCAGUCGAAGGGGCAUUGAGGCCAAUCCGGAGAAGAUCCAGGCUAUUUUCGACAUGAAGACUCCUCAGUCGUUCAAAGACGUUCAACGUCUGACGGGUAGGAUUUGCAGCUUUGAGGAGGUCAUGUCCAAAUCUGCAGAGAGAUGUUUGUCAUUCUUCGAUACACUGAAGGGACCGAAGAAUGCAAAGACGUUCCAGUGGACUUCGGAGUGUGAACACGCCUUCCAAGGCAUAAAAUCAUAUUUGUCUUCAACUCCUUUAUUGGUGAAGCCUGCUCCAUCUGAGACCUUGUACUUAUAUCUAGCAGCUAGUUCGUUGGCAGUGGGAGCUGUCUUAGUUCGAGAGGCAGGGGGAAAGCAGCAUCCGGUUUAUUAUGUCAGCCAUGUCCUAAGAGACGCCGAAACUAGGUAUCCAAAUAUUAAAAAAUUUGCCUUUGCUUUGAUAAUUGCUAGUCGAAAGCUUCGGCAAUAUUUUCAAGGUCGGCUCCUAGUUGUCUACAUGAAUCAACCGCUGAAGAAGGUGAUGAGCAAGCCAGAAGUUUCGGGGAGACUAGCAGCAUGGACGAUGGAAUUGUCCCAAUUUUUUAUUGAAUAUCAUCCCCGAACUGCUAACAAAGGGCAAGCCUUGGCCGAUUUCAUGGUGGAAUGCUCGUUCUCCGAAGCAGAUGCUGUGCUGUCAGAAGCUGAGACGUCCGAUCGAGCAGUUCCAGUUCUUCAGCCUAGGCAGAAUCCAUGGAUGCUGUAUGCAGAUGGGUCUUCUACUGUGAAUGUCAGUGGGGCAGGAAUUGACAAGUCCAGAGGGAUUCAAGGUGCAGCAGGCCAUCAGAUUUGGGUUCAAAGCAACGAACAACGAGGCCGAGUACGAAGCAGUGCUAGCAGGAGUUCGACUGGCGAAGUCUAGAAGUUCAGAAGCUGAUCAUUUACAGUGACUCUCAGUUGGUCGUCAAGCAGUUGUCAGGAGAUUAUGAAGCUCGUGGGACGAGGAUGAUCAAAUAUUUGGCAGAGUUGAAAGACUGGCUUCAGUACUUCGUCUCUUAUGAGUUUCAGGGCAUAGAGCAUAACGAAAAAUCCAUUGCCGAUGCACUGUCGAAGUUGGCCACUACGGAUGCGGAUGUUUUUAACGGGUCGGUUUAUUUGGAGGUUUUGCAGCAACCGAGUAUUCAGCAUGAAGCCGUGAUGUGCAUUGAACGUUCCAACUGUUGGAUGACUCCCUACAUGGAAUAUCUGGCAGAUGACGUCCUUCCUUCGGAUCAGAUGAUGGCAAAGAAAAUCAAGUACAAGAGUGUCAACUUCGUUCUUAUUGAUGGGGAUCUUUAUCGAAGGGCAUUUUUCGUCAUCGUUGCUGAAGUGUUUGGUUCCGUCUGAGGCUGAGUAUGCUCUUCGGGAGGUUCACGAGGGUAUUUGUGGUGACCAUAUAGCUGCUAAGUCACUGGCCUAUAAAGUACUUCGGCAAGGGUACUACUGGCCUACGAUCUUCAAGGAAGCUACAGAGUAUGUGAAGAAGUGUGAGAAGUGCCAGCUCAAUAGUCCGAUCCUACAUCAGCCACCAGAAGAGCUAUACUCGAUAUUAUCUCCUAUACCCUUUGUUGUAUGGGGGGUAGAUAUACUAGGUCCGUUGCUGAAUGCUAAAGGUCAGGUUAGUUUUGUCAUAGUUGCUAUCGAUUAUAUGACCAAAUGGGUAGAAGCGAAGCCACUUCAGUUGAUAACGGAGCAAGAGUGCUUGAAGUUCAUAAAGGAGUCCGUAGUGUUCCGUUUCGGAAUUCCUAAGGUGGUGAUAUCGGACAACAGACGCCAGUUCGUGAGAUCAAAGUUUGAAGGAUUUCUGAAAGAGCUAGGAGUCCAGCAUAAGAAGACUUCGGUGGCUCAUCCACAGUCGAAUGGGCAAGUGGAGGUGACAAACAGAACGCUGCUGAAUGGGAUCAAGCGCAAACUGGAUGAAGCUAAAGGAAGAUGGGUAGAUGAGCUUCUCAGUGUAUUGUAGGCUUAUCGGACUACCUUGAGGACUACAACAGGGGAUUCACCUUUUAGAUUGGCCUAUGGUACUGAUGUCUUAGUCCCAGUCGAGAUUGGAUCUCCAAGUCUUCAGGUUAGUCAAUUCAAAGAGAUCUACAAUGAUGAAGGACUGAAGGUCAACUUAGAUCUGUUGGAAGAAGUCAGAGAGGUGGCUUUAAUCAAGCUGGCAGCAUAUCAACGGAGAGUAGCCAAGCAUUACAACAAAGGGGUUAAGCUUCGCAGAUUUGAAGUGGGGGACUUUGUCCUCAGAGAAGUCGAAGUGUCUAUGCCUCAGAAUAUGGGAAAGCUGAUGCCGAAUUGGGAAUGGUCGUAUGAAGUAAUUGAAGUAUCGAAGCCCGGGACUUAUUGGUUAAAGGCAUUGGACGGAUCUAAGAUCAAGAACACUUGACACGCCGGCAGACUUCGAAAAUAUUUCCAAUAGAGAUCGAGUCAGUUUAUCGGAAGUCUGUAAAUGGCGGUUCCUCAUCAAUAAAAGAUUCACUUUUUUACAAAAUUGAUCUUCUUCUUAUUGGUCCUAAGUUCACAAUGAUGUAAGGAGGACGGGGGGGACUCGCUGACCAUUCGAUGGUAGCCUUUUUGGCAGGUGGUCCUUAUGAAUUUGUCAGGCCCUUCGGGGUAGGCAAACUUCAUCGGUGUAAGGAGGACGGGGUGGACUCGCUGGCCAUUCGAUGGCAGCCUUUUCGGUAGGAGUGUCCUCAUGGGUUUGUUUCACCGCGAGUGGUAAACAAAUUCCAUAGUCCUUUUAAUUUUGCUUUACUGCGAGUGGUAAACAAAAUGCACCGAAGUAAGGAGGUAUGGUCGGACUCGCUGGCCAUUCGAUGACAGCCUUAUUGUCAGGUGUGUCCUUAUGAAUUUAUUUUACCACGAGUGGUAAACAAAUUCCAUGGUCCUCACAAAAUUGUUCUACCCCGAGUGGUAAACAAAUGUCCUUAUAUCAUUGUUCUAUCCCGAGUGGUAAACAAAUGUCCUUAUAUACUUGUUUCACCCCGAGUGGUAAACAAGAUCUUGAUGGUACAAGGAGGAUCAGCCGAAUUCACCUUAUACAGGACCUGCCUCACACUUCGGAAACGAUAAGUAUGCAUUACUUUAUUUUGUUCAAGUGUUGAGUUCGGUUCAUUCAGUUCAGUUCAUUAAAUUCAGAUCAUUUCAUUUCUUAACUUAAUUAUUAUAUGCCUUAUCUGAUUCACAAUAUAAGUUAAGUUCACAUAAAUCUUAUACAGUUUUCACGAUGAUUGAUACUGAAUUAUUGACAAGAAACGAAUUAAACAGAAGUCAUAAGAAAAGAAAGUUGGAAUUUCAUUAAUAUAAUAACUGUUUACACAAAAAAGGUAGAGAUUUUUACAAUAAAAAGUCCUAAUAUUAAAACGAAGCAAUAUCAGACUCAGGCUGCACCUUCAUCUUCGGAGUAGAGAAGGGCUGGAUCCAAUUGAGCUGCAGCCAGCUUUUCCUUGCCUCGAUCCCGACAGACUUCGUAUCCUUCUGAAUAAACCUUCAUGAUCUCUGCAUUAAGCUCAUCAGACGCCCUGUACUCCGCCUGUACCUGCUUACGCAGCUCUUCAGUCAGAAGAGGACCUCGCUCCUCAAGCGCUUUUAUCUUAUCACGAAGCUUAUAAUGCUUGGCCCUAUAUGCUUCCUUGUCGUCUUGAGCCUUUGCUUGAACUUCACCAAGUUGUAUUGCCAAGCUUCGAUUAGCUGUGGCGAGUUUUUCAUUUUUUUGCCUUCAGAGCCAGAUUUUCUCCAACUAGGCCGACGUUCAUAUCGGUUAAAGAUUGCUAGCUGGCCUCAGACGCUUUCAGCUCCUCUUUCGUUGCUUUUAGUUCGUCAUCAGACGCCUUCAGGCCCUCUUUGACUUGAGCCAAUUCUCUCCGAAGGCCCUCGUCGGUAUGAAGAAGACUUUCAUAUUGACUCCUCUCCCGAGCCAACGUCGCCUUCAACAUAUUAUUUUCACUUUGCAUAGCCUUUUCUUCGGCUUCAGCGUUUACAUGUCUGGGGCGUAAACGCCCGAAAAUAGCAUUUGCCUGUAUAUUCGAACAACAUUCAAUUUGUUUCAGAUAUUUAAGCAGAAGCAGAAGUGUAGAAAGUUAGAAAACUAUCACUUACCUUCGCCAAAUAGCUCAUGCCUUUGUCAAGCAGAUCCCCGUUCGAAUGAUUACCGAAUCGGUGAUCGUCGGUGUCCCGAACGAAAGCUUCGAAAAGAUGGAACGGGAAAUUGGCAUUAAACCGAGGCCAUAAUGUCGGUGACCCAAUGACAUCAUUAUGAAAUUCUUGUGACGAGGGCCUUGGGGGAGAAGGCAUGGUUUGGUCACGAAGUGGAGAGGGAUCCAUGUAUAUGUUUUCAGGUGAAGGGGAUCGAACCGGAACGGAUUCACGUGGUAGAGAUGGGGCGGAAGCCGAACUUGGAUGACUGUCAGAAAGAUGUUUCCUCUUCCUGGAGAGUGCUGGCACGAUUUCGACUCGUUCUUCUUCGUCAGAAACUUAAAUCUCAACCGGGAUUGGUGGAGGGAGUUCGGUUGAGGAGGGAGGUAUUCUAAGUUCUUCUGUUGAUAAAGGGGUAACUUUGGUUCUUAAUUUCUUCACUCGAAGAAGGUUUUUUCGAUCAUGGGCAGGCAGAUCGAGCAAACCUCCUCGAAGGGGGGCUGGAUUGGUAGUCGAUUCAGGUUCUGGGGUAGGCUCAGGAUUUGUUGGGUGGGAAUGGAUCGAGGUUUUCGAAUAGCUCGUUUCUUCCUACGGGGUUGAAGAACCUCUUCUGGUAGGAGAGGUUCAUCAGCUUCUGGCUCCUCUACCUGGGGUUCAGUGGUAUGUGCUUCAUGGAUUGGAUUGGCUUCGGGUGCAGUCUCUAGUAGUGGAGGUUCAACAGUGUUUUCUGCAGACUUCCCGUCCAAGAAAUCUUCAAGAUCUUUUACAUCCGCAGAUGUUGGCUUGAUCAAAGACACUACAAGAAGCAAAAGAGCACAUAUCAAUAUUUAUAUCAUUGAAAGUUUCAAGUAAGUAUGUGUCAGAAUGAUUCGGAGCUUACAUUUGUGAUCAUAUAACCAUGCUUGUUUGGUAAGAAGACCGGAAUCCCAUUCCUUCGAUGGGAAAUUCUUGAAGAGCUCAAUCAUUUUACUUAUCCGCUCGUCGGAAAUAUCACCAAAAUCAGCAGAAACCUUAUCUUGCGUAGUCCAGUCCGGCAGAGAAGAGAUCUCUGGCCCUUUGACGAAAAACCACCCCUUGUGCCAUCCUUUGUUGCUGGAAGGGGUGGAAAUCAGUGAUCUUCUCUCAAAUUUUUUGCCUGUCUUCGGCAACUGUUUACCCAAGACCUUGAAUCCCUUUUCUCGGGAUUGGGAAACCUUAUAGUCAGUAAAGAAAAAAUCAAGCAUGGGCUCUAGUCCGACUUCGUGACAAAAUGCAAUAAAGGCUAGAAUAUGAAUGUAAGAGUUCGGCACCAGUUGAGCAAACCCGACGCCAAUAAAUCCCAGAAGAGUAACUAACAAGAUGUGGAGAGGAAAUCGGACCCCCUUAUCCAGGAUAGUCACCGGGACGCCUGUCCAUCCUUCAGGCCCUUGGUACAUUCUCUCCUCAGACUUAGGAACUCUCACCAAAUGGAUAACAGGGAUCUGAUAGCGAGUCCGAAUCCUUUGUAGCUCUAUUUCCAUGACCGUUGAUGGAGUAUUAGCAUGGGGGUAGUGUUCUUUGUUCCUAAAGAACGUGGAAGGAUUAGGAAGGGAUUUUGGAGGUAGGACUUUCUUUCUAGGAGUUGUUGCCUUAGGGUUCGACCUCGAAGCCUCCUUAUUGGGGCUCGGGUUUGGUGGAACAACAUUAAUCGGUGUUACCAGUAGAGGCGAACCUUGCUCAGAGCCUUGGGAAGCCAUUGUUGAGAUUUUGCAGAGAAGAGAAGAAAAAUUCUGGAGAGAAGAAGAGAGCUCAAAGGUCCGAAAUUCAAAUUGGCAGGUAAAACUGUCAAAUUUGGUAAAGUUUAUCUUUUAUACCGACGGUUACACGGUACACGAGGGCGGCAUAUUAAUUGACAGUAAUAAUCAAGAAUUCAAAUGGGCAGCGUCCAAUUCAAGAUUCAGAUAUUAACCGGGUUAGGCUUUUCAAUUGGGUUUCCGGUUUUUAAUUUGCCUUAUGAUUUUAAUUCAUUUCCGUUUGGGCAUGGGUAAGUUUUAUUUUGGGCCCAUUUCAAUCCUAUCAGGUCCUAUAAUAUCAUAGACCAUUUAUAGUUUUCUAUUAAACCUCCUAUUUAAUAAAAAAACUAGGGGGCAAUGUUGGGUCAUGAUAUAUCUCCUAUUGGGCCGAGUAGAUUGGGCCUACUUAUUUGAUUAGUCCAUUGGGUCCUCAUUAGUGAGUCUUAAAGUUACUGGGUCUGGUCAUUAUAUUAUUCUUGUUUGGUCCUUUUUAGAUCGGGUCGGAUCAGUGGAUCGACCCAUUAGAUAUUUUAAUAUCUCUAUCUUUGACUUGUAAUGAUGAAAAAACAUGAUGGUUGACUGUUGUAUCUGCCAUGCAUUAAUGUGGAUGGGAUCCGAGGAUGGCCGGCGAUAGAAAACAGUGGCCAGAGGUAGUGGGUGGACUGUACGCAGUCGGCAUGAACCAUCAGAUCAGGGGGCUGUCAGACAGUAGUGGGUGGCACGGUAAACCGAGCAAGAGAGUAUAACCUAACGAGGAAGUCUUCAAGCAAAAGGUACACACACAUUAACAUUUGAUAAUUAUCUCUCAAUACACUGGAUAUUAUUAUCCUCCAUUGUUAACCCUUGUGAAUACCGAUACUGACUCUCACGUCUGAGUUAUCCUCCGACGGUCGAAGCCGUCAAGAUUUUAGUGUUGAUCGUGUUUAUUGUACAGAAUUAGAACGUCUUAAGUGAUUGAGAUGUGACAGAAAAUCUUGGCGUUAACAAUAAUAAUUCUAAACCCCUCUCAUGUUUGUGUUUUAAACUCUCCUCCAAAGUCCUGUCCUACUAAUUAUAUAUUGUGGUCUUUUUUAACUUCUUAAACUAUACAUACAUAUAUAUAUAUAUAUAUAUAUAUAUAUAUAAUUUUUUAAUCUAUAAUCAUCUCAUUAUAUUUGCUCAAAAACAAACAAAAUUUAUUAACAUGAUAAAUGUAGUAAUUAACAUAUGCUUAUGAUCAUAAUUUUCCACGUGUGUGUGCGCGUGACAACACACGUUAUUAGUAAUUGAUGAACGAAGUCGCAUGCAUUUAAUUUACCACUAAUUAAGGUGUGGAAGAAUAAUGUAACACACCUUAUUCAAAUGAAGUUGAUGAGCUAGUGAGACAAUUUAUAUAUAUUUGGUGGGGUCCCAGCUAGGGUUACGUUCGUACUCGUCGUCUAUAUAUAGAUAUAUAUAUAUAUAUAGAUAUAUAUAUAUAUAUUCACACUGGAUUCUUCUUCGUGUUACAUACAUAAGUAUAUGUUGGAUUGAUGCAGGUAGUUGGUUAGCUAGGGGACCAUCAUGUGAUCGAUCACCACUUUCACCGGGAUGCAUCAUCAGCUGCCUUAGCUAGCUAGCCAGCCAGACCUUUAAUUCAUCUUUCGGCCAAAAACAAAAGCAUCAAGUUGUGAUCCAUGUGGAAUUGUGUUUGUUUCUUUUAGCCAAUUUGUUUGGUACGUACGUAGAUGUAUAUGUAUAUAAUAUUCCCUAACAUCAUUAAGGCCGUUGAAUAACAG